CUUUCUUAUUCAUUUUACAGCAGAAGAAUCUGAACUCGCAAAAUUCUAGUCAUUUUGUUACCGUUGAAGAGUGAAUCUUCAGUGAAAACAAUGAUACAUCCCUUAAGUGUUCUGCUAGUGGUAUUCUGGCUUCAACUGAGGGGGGUGAACAGCCAGCAGAAGGUGCAACAGAGCCCUGGAUACCUCAGUGUUUCAGAGGGAGCCAUGGUCUCUAUUAACUGUAGUUUCAGUGACAGUAAUUCUCAGUACUUCUGGUGGUACAAACAGCAUCCUGGUAAAGGCCCCAAGGCUCUGAUAUCCAUCUUCUCCAAUGGCAAAAAAGAGGAAGGCAGAUUCACUGUUCACCUCAAUAAAUCCAGCCUGCAAGUUUCCCUGCACUUCAGAGACUCCCAGCCCAGUGACUCAGCUGUCUACCUCUGUGCAGUGAGCACACAGUACUUCCCUGGCACCUGCAGGCUGCACUCAAACCUACUGAGCCCUGUCCAAGCCUUAGAGCACAGACCACUGGGUGGAAAAAAUCUCUUUCUACUCUAUACACAAUGGGAGUUAUGAGAAAGAGUAGAGAAGGCUUGAUUGAUUGGGAAAGUGUGGGAGAAUUUCCACUGGUCUACACCUGGUCUGGUUACAGAGAUAAGUGCUAGCAUCUACCCAUAAUCCAUGCUUUGUUUCUAGGUCAGCUUUUGUUUCUUUUGUUGCACUCUAUGUGAAGCUUUUCUGAGCCCUUCUCAAGUGUACAGAGCAUAUGCAAAAUUAGUUUUGAAAAAAUUCAGCAAACUGUGAUAUUCCUA